ACGGACGCUGGCGGCAUGCCUAACACAUGCAAGUCGCACGAGACCUUCGGGUCUAGUGGCGCACGGGUGCGUAACGCGUGGGAACCUGCCCUUAGGUUCGGAAUAACUCCCCGAAAGGGGUGCUAAUACCGGAUAAUGUCUUCGGACCAAAGAUUUAUCGCCUUUGGAUGGGCCCGCGUUGGAUUAGCUAGUUGGUAGGGUAAAAGCCUACCAAGGCGACGAUCCAUAGCUGGUCUGAGAGGAUGAUCAGCCACACUGGGACUGAGACACGGCCCAGACUCCUACGGGAAGCAGCAGUGGGGAAUAUUGGACAAUGGGCGAAAGCCUGAUCCAGCAAUGCCGCGUGAGUGAUGAAGGCCUUAGGGUUGUAAAGCUCUUUUACCCGGGAUGAUAAUGACAGUACCGGGAGAAUAAGCUCCGGCUAACUCCGUG
rnacentral:rRNA from 1 species